GGGUUGGUGGCGGAAUUGGUAGACGCGCUAGACUCAAAAUCUUGUGAGCAUUUGCUCGUGGGGGUUCAAGUCCCCCCCGACCCACCA
rnacentral:tRNA from 1 species